UACGGAGGGGGCUAGCGUUGUUCGGAAUUACUGGGCGUAAAGGGUGCGUAGGUGGUUUAAUAAGUUGGAUGUGAAAUCCCUGGGCUUAACCCAGGAAGUGCAUUCAAAACUAUUUUACUCGAGUCUAAUAGGGGGUAAUGGAAUUCCUAGUGAAGAGGUGAAAUUCGUAGAUAUUAGGAAGAACAUCGGUAGCGAAGGCGAUUACCUGGGUUAGCACUGACACUGAGGCACGAAAGCGUGGGGAGCAAACAGG
rnacentral:rRNA from 1 species